AACUGAUCAUCCAACUAGUCCAAUUAACUCCAAAAUCAUCCUGCAAAAAACUAAUAAAAAAACUACUUGAAUCAGUGGUUAACGAAAAAAGAAAAAAACCAAAAUAGACAGAAGACAAGCAGUAAAAUCUCACUCUCCCUUCACUCUCCCCAAAUUUCAAUUCUAAUUUGUGUAACCCAUUAACCCAUGCCAUAAGCAAAACCAUGCCUCCAAUCAUCCGCCAUCAACUCUUACCACUAUCGAUGCCGACAGUGACAACCAGCAACGUCUGCUCUUCUCCUCAUGGAAAACCUCGCCACUGGAAAGUUUGUUUUUCUCUUCGCAUAGCCAGAAGGUCGAUUUAGAACUAUCUUCGUUGGCUUCGCCCGCCACUAUCCUCAUCGUUGUUUCUAUCCUCACCGUCGAGUAUCUGUCUUCGAGCCAUCUCUCUCUCUAUCUGUUUAGCUCACUGUAAAAGUGUGAAGUGCGAUCGUGGACUCUUUGCUGCCAUAGACUCUUCACUGUCUCUCUCUAUUGCCGUGAGUUCUUCAAUUUUCAGUAAUUCAGUUUUUUUAUUUUGUUAAUUAAUAAUUAUAAUGAUUUUGAAUUACUGUUGUUUAUUUUUUUUAAUUUUGGACUUUGGUCACUGAAUAGAAUAGAUUUUGAUUAAUAUAAUUGUCAAAAAUAAUGAUAAGUUCAAUUUUAAAGGAAUAGGUUUUAUUUUGCUAUAUGUAAUUGAUAUUAUUGUUGGCGGUAUCUUGUAGAUGGAAUAACCACAAAGUGAUCAAUAGCCACAAGACAAUGUUGUCUAAGAAUUUCAAAUGGGUUUCUUUUGAGGAAAAUCUGAUCUAGCUUGGCAAUAUUUCACUGUGAGUAGUAUCUUUGUUUAAUUGAAAACUUAUUUGUUCAAUGUUAUUUCUUUUGGUGAUAGAACAUUUUGUGUUUGUCAUUUAUGUGCAGUUUUGAUUUUUUUUUUUUUAAUUAUAAACUUUGAUGUUUCAAUUUAUUUAUGAACUUUUAAUGAUAAAUUAUGG
rnacentral:lncRNA from 1 species